rnacentral:rRNA from 1 species
GAUGAACGCUGGCGGCGUGCCUAACACAUGCAAGUCGAGCGAGGGUUUGCUCAGUAUUGAGUAUUCUAAGACUAGAAUGUUCAAUUCUGAGCAAAACCAAGCGGCGGACGGGUGAGUAACGCGUGGGUAACCUGCCCUAUACACAUGGAUAACAUACUGAAAAGUUUACUAAUACAUGAUAAUAUAUAUUUGUGGCAUCGCAGAUAUAUCAAAGUGUUAGCGGUAUAGGAUGGACCCGCGUCUGAUUAGCUAGUUGGUGAGAUAACUGCCCACCAAGGCGACGAUCAGUAGCCGACCUGAGAGGGUGAUCGGCCACAUUGGAACUGAGACACGGUCCAAACUCCUACGGGAGGCAGCAGUGAGGAAUAUUGCACAAUGGGCGAAAGCCUGAUGCAGCAACGCCGCGUGAACGAUGAAGGUCUUCGGAUCGUAAAGUUCUGUUGCAGGGGAAGAUAAUGACGGUACCCUGUGAGGAAGCCCCGGCUAACUACGUGCCAGCAGCCGCGGUAAUACGUAGGGGGCUAGCGUUAUCCGGAUUUACUGGGCGUAAAGGGUGCGUAGGUGGUCCUUCAAGUCGGUGGUUAAAGGCUACGGCUCAACCGUAGUAAGCCGCCGAAACUGGAGGACUUGAGUGCAGGAGAGGAAAGUGGAAUUCCCAGUGUAGCGGUGAAAUGCGUAGAUAUUGGGAGGAACACCAGUAGCGAAGGCGGCUUUCUGGACUGCAACUGACACUGAGGCACGAAAGCGUGGGUAGCAAACAGG